GGAGAGAUGUCCGAGUGGCUGAAGGAGCUGGUUUCGAAAACCAGUGUACGGGCAACUGUACCGGGGGUUCGAAUCCCCCUCUCUCCG
rnacentral:tRNA from 1 species